rnacentral:rRNA from 1 species
GAUGAACGCUAGCUACAGGCUUAACACAUGCAAGUCGAGGGGUAACAAGAGGAAAGCUUGCUUUCCUUGUUGACGACCGGCGCACGGGUGAGUAACGCGUAUCCAACCUGCCUAUAACUAGGGAAUAACCUUGCGAAAGUAAGACUAAUGCCCUAUGACUUCCUUUGGCGGCAUCAAAAAAGGAAUAAAGAUUUAUCGGUUAUAGAUGGGGAUGCGUCUGAUUAGCUUGUUGGCGGGGUAACGGCCCACCAAGGCAAGGAUCAGUAGGGGUUCUGGGAGGAAGGUCCCCCACAUUGGAACUGAGACACGGUCCAAACUCCUACGGGAGGCAGCAGUGAGGAAUAUUGGUCAAUGGGCGGAAGCCUGAACCAGCCAAGUAGCGUGCAGGAUGACGGCCCUAUGGGUUGUAAACUGCUUUUAUACAGGAAUAAAGUUAGCCACGUGUGGUUAUUUGUAGGUACUGUAUGAAUAAGGACCGGCUAAUUCCGUGCCAGCAGCCGCGGUAA